UACGGAGGGGACUAGCGUUGUUCGGAAUUACUGGGCGUAAAGCGCACGUAGGCGGAUUUGUAAGUCAGGGGUGAAAUCCCGGGCUCAACCUCGGAACUGCCUUUGAUACUGCAAAUCUCGAGUCCGGAAGAGGUGAGUGGAAUUCCUAGUGUAGAGGUGAAAUUCGUAGAUAUUAGGAAGAACACCAGUGGCGAAGGCGGCUCACUGGUCCGGUACUGAC
rnacentral:rRNA from 1 species